rnacentral:rRNA from 1 species
GAUGAACGCUAGCGGCAGGCCUAACACAUGCAAGUCGAGGGGUAACUAGAGUGAUAGCAAUAUUACUUUGGCUAGACCGGCGCACGGGUGCGUAACACGUAUGCAACCUACCUUAUACUGGGGAAUAACUUCGAGAAAUCGGCGCUAAUACCCCAUAACAUUGCGAAGAGGCAUCUCUUUGCAAUUAAAGCUCCGGCGGUAUAAGAUGGGCAUGCGUCCAAUUAGCUAGUUGGUGAGGUAACGGCUCACCAAGGCUACGAUUGGUAGGGGUUCGGAGAGGAUGAUCCCCCACACUGGUAAGGAGACACAGACCAGACUCCUACGGGAGGCAGCAGUGAGGAAUAUUGCGCAAUGGACGAAAGUCUGGCGCAGCCAUGCCGCGUGCAGGAUGACGGCCCUAUGGGUUGUAAACUGCUUUUGUACGGGAAUAAACCCUUCUACGUGUAGGAGGCUGAAGGUACCGUAAGAAUAAGCACCGGCUAACUCCGUACCAGCAGCCGCCGUAAAAC